UUCUUUCUCUAGGCCCCAGGUCGAGAAGAACGGAUCGGCAACAACUGCCGCCGCUCCUCCAUUCCCCUCCUCCUGUGUGCUGCCCUCUCAUCCAUCCCGAGUCGACCCCGCCUCCGGUCUCGGCCCACUCUCCUACAAGCGGCGACGACAUCCUCGCCGGUCAGCCACGCCCAGCGCCUUCCUCCUCCCUUCUCUCUCCCUCUCCUCACUAAUCUCUCUCCCUGUCUCCGUUGGACCUUCCCUCAUGACUGCCGGCCUUCCUCCUGACUAGAUCAACGACAGCGACGACCGGAUCUCCCACGCUGCCAUGGCUAAGACACACCGCGCGUUCGCCCCACCUCCCAGCAAACGCCGCCGCCCCUUCCCUUUCGAUCCACCUCGAGUCAACCUGUCGCCACCACGCACGCAAACCACGGCGGGGGACGCGAGAGGAGGAGUUGCGGCUUCCUCUAGGCACACACGUGCCGUUGCAUUUGGCCUCUCCUGGAGCGUCGGUCGCCGUCGCCGCCUGCCGCUCGGCUUCUGCCCCACGGGCGCCACGUCCAGGAACUCCCCUCCGCCACUGCCGGGUGGGUCAAAAUCACUGCUAUCGCCGUGUCCCGGCCCAUUCCGUUCAUGCUCUGACGUGAUCCUGAUGCGCCUGCACAAAUCCUUUUCUGUACAGAGUAAUGGCCAUCGGAUUUGGAUUUUGGGAGCUUUCAAUCGUGGAUGCUUGUUUCCGUAUGGAGUAAUGACAUUUUUUAACUGACGGAUUGAUCCAUGAUUGUCUCCUGGUGCAAUAGUCGUUCAAGCACAUGCAGUUUUUGGGAGUGAAGUCAAAGAAUAGCUUGGUACUUCUGUGGUUGAGAUUUCAACAGAGGGAUGCUGGUGCAGUAACCAUAUCUAUGUGCAAGGAAUUCUGCUUCUUGCAGCUGUAGGACCAUGAGAUGUCGAUGCUACACGAUAGGACACACCAAGGUCCCAGCCAAGUCAGUGAUGUUGCCCCGACUCCCUGUUUCUUCAGCUUGAGGAAGCCCUGUGGCAGCCUGACUCUCUUCUGCCUAUUGUCGUCCUAUCUGACCUGCUACUAGGCAACUACUACUACUCACGUUUGAUAGAUGCUAUCUUGCGUACGACUGAGCAGUCUCGGCUAUACUUCAACCCAGACAUCAACGAAGCAAAUAGCUUGAUAUAUGGUUCAGGGAGCUUCGACGCUUGCUCCGACCAAAGAAGUCUUUCAAGCUAGAUUUUCUUUCCAUAUGAUACCUAGAACUGGCAUUGGCUGAGUUUGCGGUUAAAAAAAAGAGCCAGCAAGGAGAUGGAGUUUGCGAAGCACACGUUCGACCAUGACAACCCCAAGCAUGUGUCCCCAUACCUGAUGACGAGGCGACCAGUGAUGACAGAUGGAUGAGAGGCCUUAACAGGAUGGACGGAGCUGCUGAAUUGGAGGAAUUCCUAUGCUUAUGGACGAAGGUGCAGGCAGUUAAACAGGACAUCCUCGACAACAUGAAUGAGGACUUGAUUGAAUGGACUCUCACCACAAACAAUGUUUACUCAGCCAAAUCGGCUUAUGACAUCCAGUUCAAGACAAGAAUCCCAAGCCCGGCCCUGGCUAAUGUUUGGAAGAUCAAGGCUGAAGGCAAAGUAAAAAUUUUCAUGUGGACGCUCUUGCAGAAUCGGCUAUGGACUGCUGACCGGCUCCUUCGUAGAAACUGGGAUCAUCAUGAUAGCUGCUGCAACUGUGACCAGGUUAUUGAAUCAGCUAUACACCUCAUUCUCAGAUGUCCCUACGCAAAAGAAGUCUGGCACUCCUUCAGCUCCACCAACCAGCUUGUCGCUAGAUAUGCUCGUGAGGCCAGCUCCAUUGUGGGAUGGUGGGAGAAAGUGUUCUCCCAUCAUCGGAAGAAGGUAGAAGCUUUCCAAAUUUGCACCACUUCGGUUUACAUUGCCUGGAAUAUUUGGAACGAGAGAAAUCGUCGUCUCUUUCAACAUGAGAGCCUGCCUGUUCAACGGCUUUGUAACAUUAUUUCUGAUGAAAUCUGCCUCCUUAAGGAGGCAUGGGAGUAGUGCUUGUAGUCAGUUUUGGCUGAGCUGAGACCUUCUCAGCCUCUAGCCUUCCUUUUUUCCUUUUCCUCUUUGCUUUCUUUGGGUUUUUUACCCCUGUACAGUAUUUCCCAAUACCUAUAAUGAAAAGGCAGAGCACCUGCCAUUCCGCU